AGAGAGAAAGAGAGAGUAAGAGAGAGUAAGAGAGAAAGAGAAAAAAAAGAGUUCUUUGUUGUGUUCUUUGUUCUUUUCUUUCUUCUUUGGAAAAUGGCCCUCAGAUGUCUCUUCUCUUCUUCUUCUCUUUUCUUCC
rnacentral:ribozyme from 13 species